rnacentral:piRNA from 1 species
UAUGGUAGUUACUCUCUGCAAGCUACA